rnacentral:rRNA from 1 species
CCUACGGGAGGCAGCAGUGAGGAAUAUUGGUCAAUGGACGAGAGUCUGAACCAGCCAAGUAGCGUGAAGGAUGACUGCCCUAUGGGUUGUAAACUUCUUUUAUAAAGGAAUAAAACGAGGCACGUGUGCCUUUUUGCAUGUACUUUAUGAAUAAGGAUCGGCAAACUCCGCGCCCGCAGCCGCGGUAAUACGGAGGAUCCGAGCGUUAUCCGGAUUUAUUGGGUUUAAAGGGAGCGUAGAUGGGUUGUUAAGUCAGUUGUGAAAGUUUGCGGCUCAACCGUAAAAUUGCAAUUGAUACUGGCAGUCUUGAGUACAGUUGAGGUAGGCGGAAUUCGUGGUGUAGCGGUGGAAUGCUUAGAUAUCACGAAGAACCCCGAUUGCGAAGGCAGCUUACUAAACUGUGACUGACAUUGAUGCUCGAAAGUGUGGGUAUCAAACAGGAUUAGAUACCCGAGUAGUC